rnacentral:rRNA from 1 species
AUUUAUUUCUCUCCCCUGAAGUCCUCUGAUCUCAGAAGGUAAGCAGGGUCAGACAUGGUUAGUACUUGCAUGGUGACUGCCUGGUAAUACCAGGUGAUAUAGGCU